GAAGGAAUAAUUUGUUGAGCAGAAGAAAACCAUGGUAGAUAAUCAAAGUAGAUAAUCAAAACGUUAAGAAAAAGAGUGCUGGCAUUAGCUGGAAACUCUGCUAAGUUACAAAAUCAGACGUGAUUUGUACAGCCUUGAAGUUUAGAGUUGCUUCUGGAAAUGCAUACCGUGUACCUGCCAACUCAGAUAAACGGAGACUUGUUAACGUCACUGCUGGUGGAAUAUCCUCAGUAUAUGAAGACAGAGAAAAGAAAGGAGGCCAGUGACAGCCAGUUGGGCUGCUCUAUAGUCAUCAUUCAAGAUUUGCUCCUUUGUGGCACAUACCUCAUGCUUGACUCUGACAUAGCAUUUGGAAAGAAAGUGUUCUGAAGCCACUAUACACUGAAGAGCUACAGAUGAUGACAGAGAAGAUCAGCACAGAGCAAACAUGGAGUGGGAAGAACAUCAUGGAUGCCCACACUAAUCCUAGCAAUGACCAUUAGCCCAAAGGGAAGGCUUAGAGAUGAAUGACUUGAAAACACAGCCAAGCCACCAAAGACUUUCCAUUCAUAAUGUUGGAAACAUCUGUGCUUUGAUGCUAAGCUAAUAUUAAUAGACUUCUACAUGGAAAAACUUGGCAUAUGCUGUGAAUAUACAAAAAAGUUUGAUCCAAAGGAAAUUUACAUGUAAAAAUAAUUUACAAGGUAGACAGAAAUAACAAAAACCAAAUGCAACGUAUGAAUUAAUGAAAGUGAUUUAAUGAACACAGAUAAAGAGAGUAUCGGGUCUGAAGGAGAGUCUCGGGAAUUGUGGUUUGAUAUCAGACUUGAGGGUGAGAUCAGUGAACUGGCGUAUCACACUGAGUAAGGAGAAGCAAAGACCCAUUAGGAGACAGAGCAAGGUAGUGUGCAGUUGUCUGGUAUUCAGGAGUGUGACAGAGGAGGGGGACAAGGGAAGAGCAGAGCAGUGUCUGUACCUCAGCUUUGCUUCAGGCGACAUAACUUGGGGGCUCUAUCAGCAAGAGCGCUAUGAUAAACUGAAUGCUAAUACCCUCUCUCAAACCAGCUUGAGUUAUUGGCC
rnacentral:lncRNA from 1 species